GUCUUGAAGCAGGGUUUUAUAAAAUGCUUUAUACUUUUUUUUAAUAUUGCACAACUAUUUUUUGGUCUUAACACCUGUGAUGUCUUUUGAUUUUCCCGUUUAAGAGGACAGCGCACACAAGUUAGGGAAUUCAGAACUUCAUUUCCCACAUGCCCUUGCGAUCAUACACGUUCAGCACGGCGAGGAACCUUAAAACAGCUUCGGGCCAAAAGUCUACAGCUAUUCCAUAAACAGGAAAGACUCCACACACAUGCUUAGAAGUGAAAAAGUAUUAAAAAAAUAAUUCGUUUUAAAACGCAAAAGCUCCAAUAACGACAGACUUAUCUACGGCUUGUCCCGAAAGCGGGACGGAUGAAUGGUCCCUGCAGACACUGGGGGAGUUACAGAGGCGGAUGUUUGACGACACGAGAGAGGGGCCGACAGCCAGCGGGGCGUGGUCUAGUGAGCAGUGGCGUCCAAGAUGGGUGCGGGACAGGGCGGCAUCCACCUCAGGGGGUGCAUCCACAGCCCCACCAUCGCAGGAAAAAAAUUCAAAAGCCAACAAAAUGUCUCACUGGGCAACACAAACGCAUGUUGGCAAAUUUUGGUAACUCUAGACGUGAGUAUCAGGUGACGCGUAAGACUGAAGAAGGCAAAAAAUGCAAAGAAAAGAAAAACACCCAUUAAUGUAAAGACAGACAAAUACAGCGUAGUAAAAAACCUUGAAAGUCUCAUUUUAUAUAACUGGUGAUUUUUAAAUUAAUUCAAAUAUGGCAGGGUUGUGAAUAACACUCUUUUGUGUGGUGUGUCAAAGUCAGAAGACAUUUAUUUUCACAUUACAG